rnacentral:rRNA from 1 species
GAUGAACGCUGGCGGCGUGCCUAACACAUGCAAGUCGGACGGGAGUGGACGCAAGUUUGCUCCAGUGGCGCACGGGUGAGUAACACGUAGCUGACCUGUCCUGGAGCGGGGGAUAACGCCGCGAAAGCGGCGCUAAGCCCGCCUAAGCUCACGGUCUUUAGAGGACUGGGAGAAAAACCGAAAGGUACUUCAGGAGGGGCUGCGGCCCAUCAGGUAGUUGGUGGGGUAAGAGCCUACCAAGCCGACGAC